rnacentral:rRNA from 1 species
UACGUAGGGUGCAAGCGUUGUCCGGAAUUAUUGGGCGUAAAGAGCUCGUAGGCGGUCUGUUACGUCGGCUGUGAAAACCCGAGGCUCAACCUCGGGCCUGCAGUGGGUACGGGGCAGACUAGAGUGCGGUAGGGGAGAUUGGAAUUCCUGGUGUAGCGGUGGAAUGCGCAGAUAUCAGGAGGAACACCGGUGGCGAAGGCGGGUCUCUGGGCCGAUACUGACGCUGAGGAGCGAAAGCGUGGGGGAGCGAACAGG